GUCUCGAUAAUGUUGUGUCCUUUCCUCUGUUUCUACGGUUGUUGAAUUCGGCGGAACGGCUUUACAUCUGAAUAGUAAUAUGAGAAAAGAAGGUCAGGUUAUGCAAAGGACUACAAUGACGAGCAUCAAAACAGACUACAGAGGCAAAAGUACAAGAAAGCAAGACAUCGGCGAUCACAACUAACUAAAAAACACUAACCCUUUUUUUUUUUUUCAAAUAUGAAUAUAUACCUCAACCCCAAUAUUAACAAAAUAUGUAUAAUUCCUACAAUCAUUUCUCUUUAUUUAUACAGGCCCGGCAGAAGGUUCCCACACUUCAUGGAGGAGGCCAAACAAAUGGCGGCUGGACUACUUCCACCAGUCUCCAGACUGAGGCGAAAAAGAGAAUGAGUUGGAGCUGAUGGCAGUUAGCAUGAAGAAGCUAUAUUUUUAAACUUCUGUAGAUUAUUUGUUAAAUAAAUUGU
ensembl:lncRNA